rnacentral:rRNA from 1 species
GAUGAACGCUGGCGGCGUGCUUAACACAUGCAAGUCGAACGGUGAAGGCGGAGCUUGCUCUGCUGGAUCAGUGGCGAACGGGUGAGUAACACGUGAGCAAUCUGCCCCUGACUCUGGGAUAAGCGCUGGAAACGGCGUCUAAUACUGGAUACGAGCUGCGAAGGCAUCUUCAGCAGCUGGAAAUAAUUUCGGUCAGGGAUGAGCUCGCGGCCUAUCAGCUUGUUGGUGAGGUAAUGGCUCACCAAGGCGUCGACGGGUAGCCGGCCUGAGAGGGUGACCGGCCACACUGGGACUGAGACACGGCCCAGACUCCUACGGGAGGCAGCAGUGGGGAAUAUUGCACAAUGGGCGAAAGCCUGAUGCAGCAACGCCGCGUGAGGGACGACGGCCCUCGGGUUGUAAACCUCUUUUAGCAGGGAAGAAGCGAAAGUGACGGUACCUGCAGAAAAAGCGCCGGCUAACUACGUG